rnacentral:lncRNA from 1 species
AAAUAAUUAAAAAAUAAUGCUUUUUUGUUUGUCGUGUUAAAAUCGUAAGUACCGAAGUACUGUGAAAGAGAUUAAUUUACAGAAACUGAAGCCAAGGGUUCAAAAAAAAAGUGCAAAGAGAAUAAUUGUAUUGGUAGCACAAUGUCAUAUUCAUACAGAGAUCAAGUAUAUUAUUUACGGCUAGUAAGGACUAAGAAUUAAUUGUACACUAUUGUUUUAUUCUACAAUCAAUCUUGACCCUUGAUGCUUGGCUCUCAAUCUUGUCCAUUGAUCUUCUCUGAUUUUGGAGACUUGAAGACCUUUCAGUAUUAUGCCUUGUUGUUGGUGUCUUCCAUGCGGUAGAACCGACGACUUGCCAAGUGUUUGUUCAUUGACGCAUUUUAUCAAACAGUUGGCCUGCUCAUAGCAAACAGCUCCUGUUUUAAUUCGAUGUUAUACGGGUAUUUCAUUUAUUUGAGUAGGGGUUAGGGGUCAAUUGGAUACAAAUUCAAAAUUAUCCUUACUUGAGAUGGUGAUAAAAAUUGGGGAUUUAAUUUGGAUGUGAUUAGCUACAAAUAUUAAGCUCAUACAUUUAAUUCAAAAUUGGAGGGCUGAUAUAUGUGCAUCAUCGUGCACGUUAUAGUGACACUGCGUCACCAUCCCACAACCUCUCCAAUGAAAAAUUGACAUGCAUCUUGUGCGCUUCUGAUCAAAAUCCUGAAAAUUAAUCACAAAGUUAUACUUUUAUUAUAAAAAGAAUAAAGAAACUCCAAGAAAAAAAAAAUAGACUUACAUAAAUAGUUUGAGUAUUCUAGAUUCCAAGUUGUCUAUAUUAGCUUGAUCUUUUUAUAAAUAGUCAUCUUCGAAAAAAAAUUCCACCACCAUAUAUUUUAAUUUUAUGUUAAUUAAUAAAUAGAAAAAAAAUCAUUUUAGAAUUAAUUAAAACAUUAUUUAUUGUUGCCAAAAAAAAGGAAGAAUUUAGUGAUAAGAAAAAAGUGUCUCAAAUAUACGUUAAAAAAAUUAAUCAUGGUGGGUUCGAUUGAUUGAAUUUUUUUUUUUAUCUUUUUCUUUUUUAAGAAUUAAGACAAUUGGAUUGAUUGAGUAAUAAUAAAAUAUAUUUAUUUGGCAAAUGGCAGUUAGGCUUUCUUCUGAUGCAGAUUAAUUAGAGAGAAUAUAUAACCAUUUUAAGCUCGUCAGAUUCGGAACCUGCUUAUCUGUCGUGUGGGGAUCACUUCCGUGUCUUAUUUUUCUACAAAAAUCUAGACCAUUGGAUUUCCCAUUAGUCAAUAGAUAAAUGUUUGAUCUUGAUUCUUGAUUAAGAUCGAAGUUUGAUUCUAACCAACAUGAUGUCUGAUUCAGAUUGCGAAGCCAGCAAAUUGAAAGUAACUUGUUCUAUUUUGAUAAAACAUUCUCAUAGUAAAGUGAAUUACCAUCCAACGAUCCAACUCAUGUUUUCAAAUUGUAAAUUGCAAAUCGUGUGUUUGCCCCAUUACAGAGUUUCUUCAAUCUGAAAUAGAGAAUCAUUUGUGUUCUAGAUUAAUCGUGGGUCUAUAUCCAAAUCUAAAAAUUGACUAAAUUCUUAAUCCUAACAAGAAAAAUUGAAGAUUAAAAACAACUAAUUUGGUACCAUACCACUAUUGUAACAUAGGUAGAUCCUCUAUUAAUUGGAGUAAAGAUUGAAUUAUCUCAUUUAUUAAGGUUUAUCAAAAUCUUGUGUCAAAAUCUAUUAAUGAUAUAGGUUCAAGGAUGAAAGAGUCACUUCAUUACUUUUGAGUUCCCAAAUAGAUGAAUGGGUGUUAUUUUUGGAUUCCGGAGAGUCGAAAAUAUUAGGAUAGGUGCUAAAUCGAAUUAAGUUGUAGAUAAGAUAGAAAUGGAUUUGGAGAGAUUGGAAUCCUAGGUAAUCCGGUGCACGUUGUCGUGUUAAAUUAUCGUUGACUUCACGUUGACUGAAGCAUUAUUGGAAGAAACAAGUUUAUUGAUGUGAGGCCUUUGAGAUUGUAAGUGUUAAAUCUGAGAAGAAUACCCACACACCCAUUAUCCUAUUACUCUUAUAUCACAUGAAGAGAAUUCAACAUUUGAUUCACACGGAAAAAAUUUGUGAGGAUUGUGAGGGUUGAUGGAAUAUAAUUUAGAUACAAAGUGUUUACCAGUGCGAUGCUUCGCAAGUGUUCUUGAAUCAAUAUAAACUCACAUUAUUUUCAUAGUGAUUGUUUCAUCUGCACGUGGAUAUAAUCACAUGUCGAGAUUUUUUUCCUUAAAUUAUGGUCUUAUUUAGUAUUGAGGUGUUAUAUCUUUUAAGGUACAAUUAUUGUUGGAAAAAAGUUACAACUAUCAAAUAAAAUUAAUACUAUGUGCUAAAUAUAAUUGUUAAAUAAUAAUUUUGACAAAAUUAGUGAAGUUAUAUAGAUUUUUUUUCAUCAUCCAAGUAUAAAAUCAAAUCAACUUAACUUCUAAGUUAUAUAUCGGUUACUGUUUAUCAUAUGUUUUAGUUCUGUAACUUUUAAGUUAUAGUUACCCAACCUCAAUUCUAAACAAGACCUAUAAAGAUCAAAGAUUUCCUCAUUAAAUUAUAUGUCUUGUGAUUGCUUAUUUAAUUUAUAUUUUUGUUAUUUAUCUUUAUUAAUUAUAAUCAUCUUUUUAUAAAUUAAAAUUGAAGGAAGUUGAUUGAUGUUGUUGACACACACGCACACACUCACAAAGACAUAUUGGAAGUGCUUACGUCGACUCGAAGUUGUUGGGAAUUAAUGCAUGUAUUGAUUUAUUGGGAGUGUUUAAAUGAUUUUGUGAUUUACUUGAUUUAUUGAUUGAAUAUUGUUUGAUUGCUUCAUAUCCAUUCUAGAAAGUUUAUUUCUUUGUGAAAGUUCAACGAAAUAUGUUUUUUUUUUUUUAAAUAAGGGUGUUCUAAAUAAUUUUAAAAAAUAUAUGGACUAAUUAGAAUUAAUUAUUAGGUAAUUAACUCAAUCUGUACGGGGUAAAACAACAUUUAUCCUAAUUAUAUCAUGAUAAAUACUUUUCCGAUUAGAAUUAGGAAAUCAUAGGUUUGUUGAAUUGUUUUUUUUUUAUUUUCCUUUGCGGAAACGGAUUAGAGAAUUAGAAAACAAUCAUGUUGAUGUCAAAAUCUGAUCUAGUCGGUUAGCGACUUAAUAUCAUAUUACUGCACCAGUAUUAAAUUUAUUUGGUAGAGAAUCGGCUGGUCAAUUGUCAAGAUGUCCUGCAAUCACUAGCGAUUAACCUACGAAUAUAUGAAAUUAUAGAAGACGGUAAGAGGCACCGGAAGUUUUUUCGUCGUGAACCUUCUGACGCUCAAGUCAGUUUAUAGGUUUACGAUAAUAAAAAUAAAUAAUUUCUAUUUAAAACAAAAAAUAGAGUUCAAAAGCUCAAAAAUAAAACCCAAUCCCAAUAUGAAAAUGAAUAUCUUUUUUUUUAGCUUGGCCGAAUCCUUCUGCCUCCUAAAGAAACAUAAUAGAGAAGCCGGUAGCCAUGUUCCCUAGGUAACGCCCCACUCCCCUCUUUUAUUCCUCCCCCUCUCUUCUGUUUCCUUCUUUUGCUCACUAUCCUUUAUAAUUUUUUAUGCUUGUCUUCCCAAAAUAGCCUUUGAAUACACAAGUAAAUGUCUAGGCUUUGGUGAGGAUAGUUUGGUUAUUGCAUUUUACAAGUAAGAUGAGUGGUGGAGAAAAAUGAGGAGUGCAUAUAACUCUUCAGCAAAUCCCACCAACAAUUCCAUUUUCUUAAUUAAUUAAUCUCCUUUUUUAUCCCCAAACAAAUCCUAAUGAUACUAUUAUCAGGUUUAAAACAGUACAUAAAUAGUGAAAAGCUAACUAGUCUGUAGAUUAAUUUGCUAAUUGCUAUCUCCUCUCUACGCGCUCUGAAUAAUUUGUUGCAUGCAAACUUUUUAUUUUAUGCAAAUCGUACGUACUGUAACAUUGGAAUUGAUGUAUAAGCAAAAAUACAAGAAUCUUUAUGUCAAUAAAAAUAGUUUUUUUUUCCUUUUUAAAUAAACACAACGCGAUGUUGCUCUUCUCUACAUUGUUGCUAUCUCUUUAUUCCCUUUUUUUUUUUUCGGCUUCUUAAAGCCUCAAACUUUGAUAACCAAAACUUCAUCAAACUUUGAAAAAAAUCUGUCUGGUUAGUUAUUAUUAUCGGAAUAAUUAUUUGAGAAUACUAAAACAAAAUAUAAAUAAGAAAAUACGGGGUUAAAUUUGGGGAAAACAAAAAGGCAUGUUGGAUAGAUUACUAUAGUUUAAGGGAAAAAAAAUCCAAUUGGGAAUUUUUUUCUUUAAUUUUUGUUUUACUUGAUUGAGAUUUCUCCUUAGUCCUUACAGUUUUAAGUUUGGACUCCGUAGGGUUAGUAAUUUAGUACUUCCUUUGCAAGCUGAGUGCAAGAAUGAAAAUCUUUAAAGAAAUUAAAAAAGAUUAAAAAAAAGCAUACCAAUAGGUAAUUAUAAAUAACCAUAAAUAAACAUAAACAAAAUGUUUAUGAAGUAAAUUACACAUGCACAUAUUAUUUUUUUGUUUUAUUUCUUACUUGUCAAUUUUAUUUGCUGCUUGAUAACCCGUAAAUACUAAUCUAGUACUGCUAAUUUCAGACACAAAAUUUUUAACUCUAGGCUGCAGUUUUACUCAAAAUGAUGACCACUGGCUUCGCACCAUUUAACCGGCAUACAUUUCUACAAAUUGAACAAGGCUAUUGAUUUUCAUUAUUAUUUUUUAUUUAUUUAUAAAUUACCAUUUUAAUUUUCACUUUUUAUUGGGCUGUUGAACGGAUUAGUGAAGUUGGUGGUCGUGAUGCACUCAUAAGGUACAAUUUUAUUUUAUAAUUUCAAAUUUGUAUUUUAAAAUGCAGGUACAUUAUGUAUACAUAAUUAUUGAUUUUCGUAUGUGGGUGUUUUGAAAUAUUGCUAAAAGACCAAACUUUAAUAAACUAUUUUUCAUCUUUUUUUUUCCUUUUUUCCUAAAGUUCGAGUGAUAUCCGCAUUUUAAAUUCAUGUGGAACAAAAUCUAAUGUAUGCACAAAAUUCUUUUAUUUUUUCCAAGAAAAAUGGGUAAGAGAAGAAGAUUUUUCUCUUGAAAAAGAAAAACUAAUAUGAUGCAAGCAUAGGAAAGAGGUCAGUGUUUUGGAUUAGAAUUUAGUAUUGAGCUGAAUUUUAUACUAAACUCUUUUAUGGUACUGCGAUUAAUAAACUCAUGAUUUGCUUUUGCUUUUGCUUUUACUUCAAGUGAAAGAAAGAGGAAACCUUUUGUUUUUUGUUUGAUUCUUGACUACAGAUGUUAGCUAUAUAGAGAGUUGAGGUAGCAGCCUUAAGUGAUGGUGAUAAAAAGAUUAGGCAGCGCACACAAUCUUACUGUCGUCCAGACCAUCCAGCUGUGAUGACUCUAGUUUUUUGGUUACAUUAGCUUUAGUGGAAAGGAGGGCCAAUUUAACAAAGACUAGAUUUGGUGGCUUACUAUAAUGCUUAUUCUCAGGGAAUCUAAUGUUAUAAGAUGAUUUAAUGAUCUUCUAUGAUUGUGAGUAGUAUAGUAUAAUUGAAAAGAGCCUGGGCUCCUAUGAUGAAUAUAUAAUAGUAACGCAGUACUGUGAUUGAAAAAAACACAGUUACAAUAAACUCUUCAUUUAUUCAUUGCGGAGAUUGAAUGGCAAACAGAGAAUAAAAUGAAGCAGAGGAAUCUCAUUGCCAGUAAAAUUGACCCUCUUUAAUGUUAUAUGGCACAGGUGUGUGUACAGCAAGAGCAAGUUACUUGCAGUUUUUAUUGUAAAAUAUACAGGUUAUGACCAUGAUCAUUGUAGUUAGGUUUUGAUGAUUUUAGAUGCUUUUUUUAUUUUUAUUUUUUAAAUUGUGACACCUUUGAUUUAUGGUAGUUUUGCAGAAGAAAAAAAUAUAUAUAAAAAUUAGGAGGGAUGAGUUAACUAACAAUUGCAAUCAUUGCAGUAAUGUUGAUGAGUGAUACAUCAUUUGAAAUUUACUUGUCAGUUGCUAAAAUGAUGAAAAAAAACAAUAAACAAUAGCAGUAAUAUUUUUAUGGAAAUUCUGGGUUUUUAUGGAAAUACUCUUGCUGAAAUUCUAAUUUUGACUUUCAACUCUUGGUUUUUAUGGAAAGUAAAAUGACUUGUUUGUUAUAUUCAUACAACCCACUCUACAUAAUGAUUUCAUUUUAAUAAAUGCUUGAUGAUCUCCACAGAAAAACUACUUCAAUUCUUUUUUUUUAUUUAACUUUUUGGUUGUUGAAAAUAGCCUUAAUUUUCAAAUCAUUGGAGAAAGAGUAAAGAACAUUUAACAAAUUUAUGUGCCAAAAAUAAAGGAGAAAUUGAAGAGAAAGGGUGCUUGCAGAAGUGGGUGCAAAGAUAAAUCAGUCCAUAAGAAUUAUUGUGGUUAUUAAUUUUUUGGCAAUAUAAAAAUUUUUCAGCAAAUAAAAAUAGAUUUUUUUCUGAUUUACUAAAAAAUUAAUUAAAAACUUCGGCGAUAGCAUUUUUUAUGGGUGCAUGUACCCUCCCUUUAAAAAAAAUAUAAUAAUUAAUACUUAAUAUAGUAUUAAAUACGAAAAUAUCAAUAUUUGACUACACAAAUUUAUAUCAUUAGGUCCUUAAAAUUUAAAAUUGAAGACACAAAAUGAAAUAUAUAUAAAUUUCAUUCUCAUAGGAAAGGAUCCUCUUAUAAUCUUAAAAUAUUUGAGCUUUGAAAGAAUUUUUAAAACAAAUGUACUUUUAUUUUUGUACAAUCAAUAUUUACUUAUUUAUUAUAUUUUUAUUCAUUACACUACUAGAAAAAUGGUCUUUUGUGACACUUGUCUUCUGACACUUUAUUAUAAAGUAUCAGUAAUUACAUAUAUUUGGGGCAUUUUCCGUGUUUAACAUAUAAGUAUCACAAAUUGCUAAUACUAUGGUGUCAGUAAAUUUAAUAUCACAGAUUCGUGACACUAAAGUAUUAGUAGUUAAAAAAAUAAAAUUUUAAUUUUGUAUCUAGUAAUAAUCGCACCGAAGACCCCGAAGCCAUAACCUUUUGCUUUUAACCGCUAUACCACUCGGCCACAAAUUGCAUUUUUGAACUUAUAAAUUAAUAAAUAAAUAAAUAUUAAAACUUAAAACCUAAAACCUAAAAAUUUUUCAUGUAUGGUAUGUGUGAAACCUAAAACCUAAAAAUUUUUGUUAAGUCAAAAAUCUAUCUUAUGGCCGCCGAAGCUUUCUUCCUUCUCUCUCCUUCCCUCUCUCUCGCUCUCUUUCUCUCUCGAACAAUGAUCUACCUUGAAAGCCGCCUCCGUCAACACCUUGAAAGCCGCCGUCCUUAAGCUAAAAUAUCCCUGAAAAGAACCCAGAAAGUGCUGUGAAGAAUUUGGGCAAAGCUAAGGUUUGAAAGUCCGAAUCAGUGUUGUGGUAACUCUUUGCCUCAUUCUCUAUUCUCAUUGUUUAAGUAUUUAUCUGUUAAUUGAUUGAUGUUUAUUGAGUGCAAAUGAGAGCUUGCACUUGUUUGGAAAUCCAGCCAUCUAGGGUUUUUGUUGCUUAUAAUCUAAUUUAUUGUUUAAUAAAAUAAAUAAAACGCAGCUUUAUUAUAGGUGGAAUUCAGUUUAUUAAGUGAAAGAAUGAUUACAAUCGGUGAUUAUGGAUUUAGGUUGAAUGCAAUUUGUUAAUUAAAAGAAUAAUGGUAAUCGACAGUCAUGGGUUUAGUAUGUAUUAUAUAUUUCGUUUAAUGGUGUGUAUGAAAACCCAAAACCUAAAAUUUUCUUAAGUAAAAAUCUCAGUUCUCCCUCACAACCUAUAAGCCCAUCACUCUCUCUCUCUCUCUCUCUCCCCUCUUUCUAGCUAACAACCCAAAACUUAUUGUGAAACCGCCAUUUCAAUCUUUCAAAGCUCAUUAGUUAGCUGGUCAUUGUGAAAAGUAAGGUUAUUGUUUGCUUUAUGUCUAAUUUACUUUAAACAUGGGGAUUGAUGAUAUUCGAGUUGCUGAACACUUGAUUUUGAGGUGAAAGAUUAAUUAAUAGUUUACAAAAUUAUGCUGAAAAUUUGAGGAUUGAUAGACUGUUGUUGUGAACUUGGUUGUUUCCGAACUUGACUAAAUGACUUUCAAUUGAUUUGAAAGUUUGAUUAAACUAAGUUUAAAUGAGAACAUUUUAAUUCUGGAAAUUUUGGAAUGAAUUGGGUCUAUAUUUGAUUUUGAAUGGAUUUCUCAAUAUGGUUGGUUGUUGUCCAAUUUUAUUAGAAAUUACAUAUGUACCAUGUUUGAUAUUGCAAACGUAUAGUUUAACAUAGUUAGAAUAAGCUGAAAUUCAGAUAAACUACACUUCUAUUUGCAUACUUCGAAUCUGGAAAAUUUUAUUUUGAUUGAACCUGUAAUUUAUUUUUAAUGAUUUUUCAAACUCUGCUGCCUCUGCAGUAACUUCUUUUGACAGAACUGUUCAUUAAUCUUUGAUCCUAUCAAACACCAGCCUACUGAUAUCGGAAUAGCCUCAAAUUUUAAUAUGUUGUUGACUUAUAUGUCCACUUAAAAUCUAGAAAGUAUCAUUCUAAUAUAUUUAGUAUUUUAAAUUUAAUAAAUAUUCAAACACCUGCUGCUACUUUUACAGUUUCAUAUGCAAUUUUAACUUAUAUAGUUUUAUCAUGUGAGAAGCAAAUGUAUGGUUGUCCAAAUGACUUGGAAAUUUUUUUUGUGGUGCAUUGAAAUGUCUAAUUAUGUUUUGUAAGUUUCAUAGCAUUCCAAAUUGAAUUAAAGAAAAUCUUAAAUUCAAGUUGUCAAUGUUUCCUAUUAAAUCUUAUUAGUGAUAAAUCUACUAACUUGCAGUACUUUUCAGGAAAAAAAAUGUGUCAACACUGUGAAUUGCAAUGGGAGAAGAAAGUACUAAAGGCAUAAAUCUUUUUUCAUUAUAUUUGGGACUAUUCUUAAAGGUUAGUCUUUUCCUUUUUCCUUUUUUUCUUUUUUAUUUAAGGUAAUCAUAUUCAUUUUAAUUUUAAUUACAAUCAAUUUGGCGUUGUUAGACAACUCGCACCAACCAGUCCAACAGCAAAUGAAGAUAACAUUUUUGAAAUGCAUUCAGUUUUUGACAAUAGCAAAAAGAAAAAGGAAAAAUGAUACUAGUUUAGGCUUUAGGAAAUUUGCACCAUCAUUCUUGCACUGCAGCUGCCUCUAUCUCGGUGCUCUCGGAGAAGUAAUCUUGCUUGAUUUUGCGUGAUAGUUGAUACAAGCCCGUCCUAGCCAUUACAAAAUUGACACUAAAAAGGUUCUAGUUUUUCAUAUUGUAGUUUGAAAAGUCUGCAAUGUUUGCUAUGCUGAUGCCCCAUUUGAAUGUUGGAGCCCAAAAAUGAAUGGUUUUAGGACCAGCCGGGUGGUUCCAAAAAGCUAGGAGCUUGUUAGCUAUUCUUUUUAAUUGAACUAAUUUAACUUAAAUAUUAGCCCGAUUAUUGAUUUCUAUGGUUUGCCAUUGAUUUGAGUUUGACAUUCUUGUUUUGUGUUGGUUUGAGUUUGACAUCCUAGUUUAAGACUUUGAAGGCUUCCAAGAAAUGAUUUUGGAUGAUGAGCAAAUGAGUAAUAGUUUGAAAAUUAAUUUACUGUAUCAAAUAUAUACUUAGUGUAGCAUAUUAAUUUUAAGAACUAUGGAUUAUUCCUUGAAUAUUCUAGUAAAUGGUUAUGUUAUAUAUGCAUGUCUUAAUAUAUAAUAAUUAUAUUUUGAAGUUUGUUUUUUUUUUUUUCCCUUUCUAGGUUUAGGAAAAAUGUUUAAAGUGAUUUUGGGUUAUGAUGUCAAUCAAGUUAAAGCAACAUUACUUGUGAGUGGAAAUAUAUAAUGAUUAUAUUUUUAUUCUACUUUUUUUUUAUCUUCUUAAAGUUUUAUAAUUAGGCAAAAUUAAUGAAUACUUAAUUACAAUUUAGGGUGAUAUUCUUUAAAUGGUUCACAUGAAUAGAUUUAAGUAGUAUAAUAAAUCUCAUACUCACUUUAUAAAGGCUUAACUAAGUUUGCAAAUAUUAUUUCUUUUAGUAGUAAUAAUUUUGGAUCGAACUCUCAAAUUAUUGAAAUAUUUUAUGUCCAAACUUUAUUAUGCCUAAUAUAAAUAUUGAGAUUCAUAGUUAUUUUAUGCCCAGUUUAAGGAAACUGUAGUUUGAGGACUUAUUUUUUGCCUUGUUAAAUAAACUUUUAGAAUGAAUAAAUUGAGGAAAUGAGUGGUGAUUUAUUUAUAAUAGAGCAUUUGUGAUAGCUUUUAACUAUGCACAAAAAUCAUUUGGUAUAUGUAGAUAGAGUAACAUGCUUGUGCUGAAAGUAGAUAUUACAUUGAAAACUUCUUGUCUACUAUAGUUUGCUAUAUAUAUAACCUUUACCAAAAGAGAAUAAUUGAGUUUAUUUAUAAAUAGCUUAUGAGGAUUUUUUUUUUCUUUCGAACAAAAUAAUUUUAUUUCUGUUAAUUGUUGUUUCUCUAAUGGCUGGAUAUUGGCAGCUAAUUUUUUUUUUCUUUUCCAUGUAUUCAUAUGCAGCUUUGAUCAAUGUGUUUGAAGUGUUUAUUCCUCAACUUCACUUAUAUCAUAACCCAUACAGUCUAUUGAAUGGAGAAGCUGCUGGCGUGAUAACGCAAUUAUACUACUCAUAUUCAAACAGUGAAAGACAAUCAUCCUUCUCAAUUUAGCUUCUAGAUUUAUUAAAUUUAGCCACAAGUAGUAGGUAUUUGAUUGGAUGGUAGAAAUUUUUAUGUAUUGAAUUUGGAUUAUUGAGUUAUGAGAGUAGGAUAUCUCAUAUUUUUGUUAUUGAAGUUUUGGAAUUUGUAAUAUAUACUAAUAAUAUUUAAAUGUGAAAUGAAAGAUUUUGCGAUAUAAAUCAAUUUCUUUUUGUUAUUUUGUGGUGCUUUUUAAUUUUACCAAUAAAUCAAUAGACAAUGAUCCAAUUCUUUUUUUUUUUAAAUAAAUUAACUAGUGAUACUAUGGUAACAGUAAUCAUAGACACUAAUAAAAUAUCAAUAAUUACUAACACUAUGGUGUCAUAAUAUUGGUGAUACCGUAGUAAUAGUAAUCACUGACACCACUUACAAGUGUCACUAUUUUUCUGACUCCCAGAUUACUGGCACAAUUAACAAGUGUCAAUGAAAGUAAUUUCUAACACUAUUCUAAAGUCAGUAAAUACCAUUUUUCUAGUAGUGUUAACUAUCAAUCAUGUGAGUAUAUUUACUCAGAAAUAUCAUAUCAAUAGACAAUCUUGAUCCCACACACACGUAAAUAUGUUAAUUUCUAUACGCUUCACUUAACCUGUAGAAUCAAUUAUCUAAAAUGCAAGUUUGUGGCCACAAAAAAAGCCAAAGAAAGAAGAUAAUAACAAUUGACUUGUAUAUUAUGCUCAUACAAUCCACUCGACAUAAUGAUAUCAUUUUAAUAAGGCAAUGGCCGAUGAUCUCCAUUGAAAAACUAAUUCAAUUUUUUUGCUUCAUUUAACUUUUUGGUUGUUGAAAAUAACUUUAAUUAUCAAAUAAUUGGAGAAAGAGUAAAGAACAUUUAACAAAUUUAUGUGCAAAAAAAAAAAAAAGGAGAAGUUGAAGAGAAAGGGUGCUUGCAGAAGUGGGUGUCAAAGAAAAAUCUGUCCAUAAGAAUUAUUGCGGUUAUUUUUUGGCAAUGUAAAAUUUUUAUAGCAAGUAAAAAUUAAUUUUUUCCGAUUUACUAAAACAUUAACAAAAAAACUUCUGUGACAGCAUUUUUUAUGGGUGCAUAUACCCUCCCUUUAAAAAAAAUAAUAAUUAAUGCUUAAUAUAAUAUUAAAUACGAAAAUAUCAAUAUUUGACUACUCAAAUUUACAUCAUUAGGUCCUUAAAAUUUAAAAUUGAAGAUACGAAAGGAAGCAUAUAUAAAUUUCAUUCUCAUGAAAAGGAUUCUCUUAUAAUCUUAUAAUAUUUGAGUUUUGAAAUUUUUUUGAAACAAAUGUAAUUUUAUUUGUGUACAAUCUGAAAUGGCCCAAAACGUCAUAAAACUUUUCAAAUAGGUUCAAUUUCAGAACUUCCUAAAAAUAGUCGUCUUUCCCCAACUUUCUGAAAUUAUGAUAUAGCCCCAAAGAUUUUAUUAUUUCGCACAAAGGUCCUUUUCAACAUAAUACCCAUAUUUUUCAAAGUUCUCAAAACCUUUCACUUUAGUCCAAAAUAUUCAUAAAUUAUAGUAUGGCCCAAAACAUUUCAAAUGUUUGUAAAAACGUCCAACUCUGAAAUUUAAUACUUAUUAAAAACAAAGAUUUCAAAUCUUAGCAUUUAAAUCCAAAUUACUCAAAUCGAUAAAAUACUUUAUUUUAUAAAAAUAAAACCUUUUAGUUUAUGAAAAGUAUUUAAUUAAAUUAAUCUCUUGAGCUUCUCAAAUGCUAAAUCAUGCAUCAAUUAAAUCAUACCGGCUUUACAAGAAUUUAUCGCACUAAUUUGUUCGUUGAGCUCUAAACUAUAUUCUUGAUGUCGCCGUUGUCCGCUGAGUGUCUUCAAUCUUGAUUUCACUUGAUUCACUUGCAUAAAUAUUAUCCUUAAAAAACUAGUGAAAAUGUGAAAUACAAUAUUUAUUAAAUCACUCAAUACAUAUGUUUGUUAUCAUCAAAAUUACAUUAUGUAUAGCCCUUUAGGCUAACAAUCUCCCCCUUUUUGAUGAUGACAAACAUCUCAUGUAUUUUGACAUUUAUACUCCCCCUUAAUACAUGGCAUAUAUAAUUAAACAUAUAAAUCAAAUUCAAAACAAAAACUCCCCCUGAAUAUUUGAUUUAUGAUAAUUUGUAAGCUCCCCCUUAAUAUUUCAAAACCAUGCAUAAAUACUUGAAAUACAAAAUACGUAUUACAUGUCUUCAUAUUCAAAAUACAUGACUUCUCCCCUUCAUCAUCAAAAUUACUAGAAAUUCAUGCGAAGAUCGAUAAUAUGUCAAUGGUUAAUCAAGAAACAUAUAAUAACCAAACAUCCAAUUAACCAUUAAAUGAUCAUGAAUCAUCAUGCCAUCAAAAGAAUGUUCUAAAUGCAUAUUAUCCAAAAUCAUAUUGUAUGCUCCCCCUAAAUAUAUGGCCAAUUAAAAAAUUUAACCAAAAUGAUAUUAUCCAAAAACAUAUCAUAUUUAUCUCUCCCUUCAUAAAAAAUAGAUAGAUGCAAUCGAAACAAGAGCAUAAAAAAUAAUUCGAUAAAGAUAUUACCAAUUUUGUGCGAGCAAAAAUUUCGGCAGAGUCUCCCCUUAAAAUGAACAAAUCCUUAAAUAUACAACAUGGUUAAAAACACUUCCAUAUAAGCUGAAACAAUUAUAACAAACCAACAACUCCAUUAAUUCAUCAAGCAAUACACAUACAAUCAUCAAUCAUCAAAAGUACUAUAAAUCCAUGCUUAUACCAAAAAGAAUAUCUCAAUGAUUAAUCAAGAAGCAUAAAAAUAAAGCAUGCAAUUAAUCCAAAGAGUCAUAUUCAUUCUAAGAAUUCAGAAAAUAUCAUCCAAAUAUAAAUUAUCCAAAUAUUAAACAACCAUCAUCCGUAAUCCACAAUUAGAACAAUUAUGCAUAUGAAAAUGUAGGCGCAUAAUAUAAUAAGGAACCAUGGUAAUUUAAAAUACCCAAAAAUGCACAAAUUCGGUUUUGGAAAAUAAUUAGUGAAAUGAAUGAUUUUAAACCGAUUGUAUUGAUCCAAGAGAUGAUUUAAGAUAAUGGAUGGUGUUGAUUGGAUCAAAAGUGGACUAAAAAGAGUUUAAAUUGGAAGAGAAAGAAAUGGGUAAGUUAGGUUUUUUGAUUUUGGGUUUUAUGUGGAGAGAUAAUGAAAUCAAGUUUUGAGAGUGAAAAUUGAAGGAGUAAUGGAUGAAUAAUGAGUUGGAUGAUUGAUUUUAGCAAGAGAAUGAGUGAAAGAUGAAGAAAUUUGAGAAAGAAAAUGGAGAACACUAUUCACGCGUGAAUGAAAUGAGAAUGGAAUGAUGAAGAACAAGUGAAGAAAUCAUGAUGGAGAAGUGUUUAAUGAAGAUAAAAUGCAUGGGUAUUAGUUUGAAUGGUUGAUUUGGGCAUGAAAAUGGAUGAAAAAAGAAGAAAUUGAAAGUGAAAAUGGAUGGGUUGCUCACGGUUUUGAGUGAAAGAGAGAACAUGUGCAGAAAAUUAACAAAGGAAGAAGAAGAAGCAAAAAAAAUUUUCCCAACCCGUGACCAAGCGGCUAGCCGCUUGCUCUCGGGUUGGGGACAGUUUCCAAGCGGCUAGCCGCUUGGAACAGGCGGCUAGCCGCCUGUUCCAGCUGCACUCAAGUUGAUUUCCGACUAAUUUCGAUCAAUUUUGUGACCAUUUUGUGAUCCUGAAACAUCUCAAGAGCCAAUUUAAUGCAUGAUUCAUGAUUUUAAACAUCUAAAAGAUGAUUAAUUCAAACAAAUAAUCCAUCCAACAAGCAUAUAUUCAUGAAGCACAUAAGCAUUCAAAAAUUAAUAAAUCAAACACCACAUAUAUCUAACUUGCUCAAACACUUCAUAAACAUUAAUAAUCAUCAAGCAAACGAUUUUAAUAGAUUCAAUAACAUAAAUAGAGAUGUUAAUGCGAAAAUUUCAUCAUCCCAAGUUCAUGCCGAAUUUUUGAAAAUUGUUCUUCGCAAAGGGGUUUUGUAAAAAUAUCGGCAAGUUGUUUUUCCGUAAAGAUAAAUUCUAAUGCAAUAUCACCUUUUUGAACAUGAUCUCUCAAGAAAUGAUGCCUAAUCUCUAUAUGCUUGGUUCUAGAAUGUUGAAUGGGAUUCUUUGAAAGAUUUAUGGUGCUAGUAUUAUCACACUUGAUAGGAAUUUGUUCAAGAUUAAUACCAUAGUCUCUAAGUGUUUGUUUCAUCCAAAGUGCUUGUGCACAACAACUACCUGCGGCAAUAUAUUCCGCCUCAGUAGUUGAGAGUGUCACCGAAUUUUGUUUCUUACUAAACCAUGAAACAAGUGAAUGACUAAGAAAAUGGCAAGUUCCACUAGUACUCUUCCUAUCGACCUUGUGACCAGCAAAAUCGGCAUUCGAAUAACAAGCUAAAUCUAUAUGAGUUCCUCUAGGAUACCAAAGGCCAAUAUCUAUGGUUCUACUCAAAUAAUGAAAAAUUCUUUUAACAUAAAGCAAAUGAGAUUUCUUGGGACAUGAUUAAAAUCUUGCACACAAACAUACACUAAACAUGAUAUCGGGUCUACUUGCAGUUAAGUAAAGUAAGGAUCCAAUCAUACAUCGAUACUUUUUAAUAUCAACCACUUUACCUUUUUCAUCUUUAUCAAGCAUGAUUGUUGUACUCAUUGGAGUAUUCUUGGUAUUUGAUUCAUCAAUACCAAAUCUCUUGAGCAAGUCUUUGACGUACUUAGCUUGGUUGAUGAAGAUCCCCUCAUUGGUUUGUUUGAUUUGAAGUCUAAGAAAAUACUUCAAUUCUCCCAUCAUGCUCAUCUCAAAUUCCUUACUUAUACAAGAGGAAAAUUCUUUGCACAAAGAUUCAUUAGUAGAACCAAAAAUAAUAUCAUCAACAUAAAUUUGAACAACAAGUAUAUCUUGAUUUUUAUUUUUAAUAAAGAGGGUAGUAUCUGCUCUUCCCAUCGAAAAAUCGUUAUCCAAUAAGAAAUUUUUAAGCCUAUCAUACCAUGUUCUAGGUGCUUGUUUUAAUCCAUAUAAUGCUUUUGAUAACUUAUACACAUGAUUUGGAAAUUUCUCAUUUUCGAAACCAGGGGGUUGUUUCACAUAAACUUCCUCCAUAAUAUAACCAUUUAGGAAAUCACUCUUGACAUCCAUUUGAAAUAAAAUAAAAUCUUUAUGACAUGCAAAUGCUAACAACAUCCUAAUGGAUUCUAAUCUAGCUACAAGUGCAAAAGUUUCAUCGAAAUCGAUUCCUUCUUCUUGGUUGUAUCAUUGAGCCACUAAUCUACCUUUAUUUCUUACAACCACACCGGAUUCAUCCAUUUUAUUUCUAAAUACCCAUUUAGUGCCUAUAAUGGAUUGAUGUUCCGGUUUAGGAACCAAUUCCCAUACUUUAUUUCUCUCAAAUUGAUUUAACUACUUUUGCAUUGCCAUAAUCCAAAACUCAUCAUUUUCCGCAUUCGCAAAAGAUUUUGGUUCAAUUUGAGAAAUAAAUGCAGCAUGCUCACAUGUGUUUCUAAGUGAUGAUCUAGUUGUGAUACCUCUUGAAGGAUCACCUAAAAUUAAAUCCUUAGGAUGAGCGGAAACAUACCUCCACUCCUUGGGGAGUGUUUGAGAACUACCUUCUUGUUGCUCCAGCUCCAUAUUUGUUUGUUCUUCUUGUCUAUCCUCUUGAUUUUCUUGUGGUGCAUUCUCUUGAUUCUCUUUUGAUGAUUCUUCUUGUAAUUCUCCAUCUGCAUUAUCAUUAACAACUCCUUUCUCCGCAGAGGAGGGGUUAGAUUCAUCAAACGUAACAUGCAUGGAUUCUUCCACAACUAAAGUUCUUUUAUUAUAAACUCUAUAAGCUUUGCUUGAGUUUGAAUACCCGAGAAAGAUGCCAACAUCAGAUUUUGGAUCAAAUUUAUCAAGAUAAUCUUUUUUGUUUAAAAUAAAACAUUUGCAUCCAAAAACUUUGAAAUAACCAAUGUUGAGUUUUCUAUCUUUCCAAAGCUCAUAGGGAGUUUUAUUGAGAUGAGGUCUAAUCAACACCCGAUUUAAAACAUAACAAGCGGUGUUGACGGCUUCGGCCCAAAAAUAUUUUAGUAAUGCAUUUUCAUUUAACAUGGUCCUAGCCAUUUCUUGAAUAGACCUAUUCUUUCUCUCAACAACUCCAUUUUGUUGUGGAGUCCUAGGUUAUGAAAAUUGAUACUCAAUGCCAAAAUCAUUACAAAAAUUUUCAAAUGCAUGAUUUUCAAACUCUCCACCAUGAUCACUUCUAAUACAAGUAAUAGAAUAACCCUUUUCAUUUUGAACCUUUUUAUAGAAAAUUCUAAAUGCAUCAAUGACAUCAUCCUUAUUAGCUAAGAAUAAUACCCAUGUGUAUCUAGAAUAAUCAUCUACAAUUACAAAUGCAUAAAAUUUGCCACUUAAACUAGCAUAUCUAGAGGGUCCAAACAAAUCUAUGUGAAGUAAUUGAAGAUGUUUUAAAGUAGAGAUAUGAUUCUUGUUUUUGAAAGAGGUUUUGAUUUGUUUUCCAAAUUGACAUGCUUCACAAAUUCUAUCCUUUUGAAAACCAAUUUUUGGAAGACCUUUAACUAAAUCGUUUUUCGAAAUUUUUGAAAUUAAAUCCAUGCUUGCAUGUCCUAGUCUUCUAUGCCAUAACCAACCAUCAUCAUGCAAUGCCGAAAAACAUUUAUCAUGAGUAGAUGCACAUUCUAUAUCAAUCGUGUAAACAUUGCCACAUCUAUUUCCCAUAAACAAAAUUUUCCCAUCACAUGCAUUCUCAAUAACACAUCUUGAUUUAUCAAAAACAACUUUAUAACCUUUGUCACAUAGUCGACUAAUGCUAAUCAAAUUGUGUUUCAAAUUUUCAACAAAACACACAUUUUCAAUUAGAGUUGAAGAAAUUUUACCAACAUUUCCAAUUCCGAGAAUUUUUCCUUUUGAGUUAUCUCCAAAGGAUACAUCUCCACCAUUUUCGAUUUUGGUGAAACUUGAGAACCAUGCAUAGUUUCCUGUCAUAUGCCUAGAACAUUCGCUAUCCAAGUACCAUUUAUUUUUCUUUUUCUUCAAGCCCGGCAAAGAAAAUCUUAUGUCUUAGGUACCCAAACCUUUUUGGGUCCUUGAUCGUUAGCAAUGGUUCCUUUUGGAACCCACACACAUUUGACACCAUUAUAUGCAUUCCUUUUUACGGGACAUCUAUAUUUCAUGUGGCCAUUUUAAUUACAAUAAUGACAAAAAAUCUUAUGAUCAUUUGUGGAGGUAGCUUUAACAAAAUAAUUCUUAUAAUCUUUUGCUUCAAGUUAGGCUUAUACCCAAGUCCUCCUUUAUCAAAAACACAUUUUUGGGAGUUAAGCAUGUUAUCCAAUAUCUUUUACCCAUUUCUAAAUUUUAGAACAACAUUACUAAGUUCAAUAUUCUUUUUCUUGAGCAUUUCAUUUUCCUUUUUCAAAUCAUCUACAUGUGACUCUAAAUGCUCAUGUAAAGUGCUAGAUUUUUCAUUUAAUAAUGCAACUCUAUUAUGCAAGGUUUUAUUCUCUAAUUCUAAUCCUUUAAUCUUCUCAUUCAAUGACUCAUUGCAUUUUUGCAUGGCAUCCUUUUCAUUUGUAGAUUCUAGCAAUUUCUUUUUAAGGCAUGCAUUCUUUUUACUAAUUUUCAUCAACUCAUCAUGCAUUUCUUUAAAAGCAUCAUAUAAUUCAUCAUAGGUUGGAUCACUUACCUCAUUGAGAUCAUCAUCAUCUCCUAGUGCCAUAAGUGCUAGGUUUGAUACUUCUUGCGACUCAUCUUCAUCACUUGAAUCUUCAUCGCUAUCAUCCCAAGUAGCAACCAUAGCUUUCUUCUUGAGUUUGUUGAGAAGUGGGCAUUCCGAUCUUAUAUGGCCGGGCUUCUUGCAUUCAUAGCAUAUGAUUACCUCUUUCUUCUCCUUUUGGUUUUUGAAAUUUUUGAAUUUUCUUCGGUCACCGGGUUUCAUGAAAAAAAUUUUGAACCUCCUUGCUAGCAUAGCCAACUCCUCAUCAUUUGGCUCACUUUCCCCAUCACUCUCAUAUUUGGUGACUUUGAGAGCAAUGUUUUUCUUCCUUUCCUCAUUUCCUCUUUCAGCUGCUAAAUCUUCCUCAUAAAAAUAAGAAAACCAAUUAAAUCAUCAAUAGGUAAGAUAUUCAAAUCUUUAGCUUCCUCAAUGGCAGUCCUUUUUGGUCUCCAUUCCUUAGGUAACGACCUAAUGAUUUCUUAACUUUCUCGCUAUUUGAAAAGGUCUUUCCUAGAGCUCCUAGAGUGUUUACUAUAUCCGUAAAUCUAGUAUACAUAGAAUACACACUCUCAUUUUAUUCCAUUUGGAACAAUUCAUAUUGCCGAGUGUACCUACUAAUUUUAGACUCUUUCACUUGAUUCGUGCCUUCAUAAACAACUUCAAGUUUGUGCCAAAUUUCAUUAGCACUUUCACAACUAGACACUCUAUGAAACUCUUUCUUAUCGAGUGCACAAAGCAAGGCAUUCAUGGCUUUGGAAUUUAGAGAAGCUUUUCUCUUUUCCAAUUCAUUCCAUUCCCGUGAAGGUUUCGGAAUGUCUUCCCCAAUUUCAUUUUUAGUCAAAGGCAUAAAUGGACCAUCACAUACAACUUCCCAAAUUUCAUAAUCUAAUGCUUGUAAGUAAAUUCUCAUCAUAGUUUUCCAAUACGGGUAGUCAUUUCCGUCAAAGAACGGUGGCCUAGUUGUGGAUUGUCCUUCCCUAAAGAUUGAAUCAUUUUGGGUUGCCAUGGAUCUUUUACUCUAGACGGUUAGUCCUAACAAGAGAACCAAGCUCUGAUACCAAAUGAAAUGCAAGUAACGCAACCCAAGAGGGGGGUGAAUUAGGUUUUUAAAAUAAAUGCAAUACGAUUCGCACAAUAAAUCAAUCUAAUGCCUUAAUGAAAUAGAGAACAAUAAAUUCAAACAAGCGUAAAAAUAAAAGAGCAAGGGAAGAGAAAAAUGAACACGUGGAUUUUUACGUGGUUCGGCAAUCCCCGCCUACGUCCACGCCUCCAAGCCAACCAAGCUCGAGAAUUUCACUAUCCAAGCCUCCCAAGGCUUCAAGUUUUUACAAUUGACUUCCAAGGUGUCAAUGAACCUUUACAACCAAGAGAUUAUCUCCCCAAUCUCUUCACUCCAAGUGUUUCCCACACUUACACACUCACAAUUUGAUAAGAAAUGAAAAUUACAACAAAAACUCUCUUUAAGAGUGGAUAUGCAACUAAUAGCUCAAUAAUGAUUCAAUCAAUGAUGAUUUGUGUUUUGGAAGCUCAAUAUAUGUUGUAUGAUCUUAUAUUUGCGUGCAUUAGUUCUUAGAAUGAAGUUUGAGUUGAGUUUUUAUAGUGAAAGCCCAAAAACUAGCCGUUAUAGGCAAAUUCCCGCGCCCAAGCGGUUAGCCGCUUGAUUAUCUGGCUAGCCGCUCAGGAACAGUGAUAUUACCAUUAUCUUUAAAUUGCUACAGUACUACUGUUCACUAAAAUUACACUUUAGCCCAAAAUUUUCUAUAAUUAUACUUUGGCCCAAAACGUCAUAAAACUUUUCAAAUAAGUCCACUUUCAGAACUUCCUAAAAAUAGUUGUCUUUCCCAAACUUUCUGAAAUUAUGAUAUGACCCCAAAGAUUUUAUUAUUUCGCAUAAAGGUCCUUUUUAACAUAAUACCCAUAUUUUUCAAAGUUCUCAAAACCUUUCACUUUAGUCCAAAAUAUUUAUAAAUUAUAGUAUGGCCCAAAACAUUUCAAAUGUUUGUAAAAACGUCCAACUCCGAAAUUUAAUACUUAUUAAAAAUAAAGAUUUUAAAUCUUAGCAUUUAAAUCCAAAUUACUCAAAUCGACAAAAUACUUUAUUUUAUAAAAAUAAAACCUUUUAGUUUAUGAAAAGUAUUUAAUUAAAUUAAUCUCUUGAGCUUCUCAAAUGCUAAAUCAUACAUAAAUUAAAUCAUACCGGCUUUACAAGAAUUUAUCGCACUAAUUUGUUCGUUGAGCUCUAAACUAUAUUCUUGAUGUCGCCGUUGUCCGUUGAGUGUCUUCAAUCUUGAUUUCACUUGAUUCACUUGCAUAAAUAUUAUCCUUAAAAAACUAGUGAAAAUGUGAAAUACAAUAUUUAUUAAAUCACUUAAUACAUAUGUUUGUUAUUAUCAAAAUUACAUUAUGUAUAGCCCUUUAGGCUAACACAAUCAAUAUUUACUUAUUUAUUAUAUUUUAAUUUAUUAACUAUCAAUCAUGUAAGUAUAUUUAGUCAGAAAAAUUAUAUCAAGAGAGAAUCCUAAUUUCACGCAAACACAAAUACAAGAAAAAUAUGUCAAUUUCUAUACUAUUCACUUUCCUGUAGAAUCAAUUAUCUAAAGUGCAAGUUUGUGGCUACAGAAAACUCACCAAAGAAAGAAGAUAAUAACAAUUGAGCAUUGAUAGCAAAACUAAUGCAUCAUUUUCUUCUUGACUUGAUGAGAUGGCGCCAUUACAAAAAAACAAGUACCUUAAUUGACGGGCACUGAGUGAUGUGAAUACUACCAGCCAGUUCAUCUCUUCCAGUCUUGCUUAAUCACAAUCACAAACACCACGAGAUUGACAUUUGCAUUAUAUAAAUCUUCAGCAGUCGAAACACCUUGCAUUACCAAAUAAACCAGUAACAAACAAAGCAAUCUUUCAUGGAGAGGAACCUUAGUCUCAGUAUGAUCACUGUGUCAUUAACCCACUUCCUGCUUCUUUGCUUGGUUGUUGCAGCAGCAGCAGCAGCAAGCAACAAUAUUACCACAGACCAACAAGCUCUUCUUGCCCUGAAAGAUCAUAUAACUUAUGAUCCAACCAACCUGGUUGCCAUUAAUUGGACCUCGAACACCUCUGUUUGCACCUGGAUUGGCAUCACUUGUGAUGUCAAUAGCCACAGAGUCACAGCCUUAGAUAUUUCUCAAUUCAAUCUACAAGGCACCAUCUCUCCUCAACUUGGAAACCUCUCUUCACUCACAACACUUAAUCUUAGUCAUAACAAGCUUUCUGGAAAUGUUCCCUCCUCCAUCUACACCAUGCAUACGCUAAAAUUUCUAGACUUCACUGAUAACCAGCUCUCUGGUUCAGUGUCUUCCUUCGUCUUCAACAUGUCUUCAAUAUUAGACAUUCGUUUGACCAAUAACAGACUUUCUGGUGAGCUUCCAAAAAAUAUUUGCAACUAUCUUCCUCAUUUGAAAGCCCUUUUUUUGGACAAAAACAUGUUUCAUGGCAAAAUUCCUUCUGCUUUAUCAAAGUGCAAACAACUGCAACAAUUAACUUUGCAGUCCAAUAAUUUAUCCGGUGCAAUACCAAAAGAAAUCGGCAACUUGACCAUGCUCAAAGGGAUAUAUCUCGGCUACAACAAACUCCACGGUUUGUUCAUAAUACUAUAUAAAUAUUUUAAUUUAUCACUUAUUAUCUUUCGUGAAUAAUUUAGAUAAGAUCUUGUAAGUGACAUUUUUUGCAUCUAUGUUAAUUUACCAGGUGAGAUACCCCACGAAAUCGCUAAUCUUCGAAAUCUAGAAGCUUUAAUGCUAGGAAUGAACAACCUAGUUGGUGUGGUAUCAGCUAGAAUCUUCAACAUGUCAACACUGAAGGUAAUUACCCUCAUAAAUAACUCUCUCAGCGGUAGUCUUCCAUCAAGAAUAGACCUUUCACUUCCAACUAUUAACGAGCUUAACUUGGCACUUAAUAGAUUUUCUGGAACCGUUCCUAGUUCCAUCACCAAUGCUUCUAAGCUCACCUUGCUAGAGUUGGGAGGAAACACAUUUUUGGGAUUUAUUCCAAACACAAUUGGUAAUUUAAGAAACCUUGAGUGGCUCGGCUUGGCUAAUAACUACUUGACAUCUUCAACCUCAAAAUUGAGCUUUCUUUCCUCUUUGGCAAAUUGCAAGAAAUUAAGAUCCUUAUCCUUAGAACGCAAUCCACUUGGCGGCUUCCUUCCAAGUUCAAUGGGUAAUCUUUCUAUGUCUUUAGAAACACUUUUUAUCGCCAAUUGCGGUAUUAUUGGCAAUAUUCCUCAAGCAAUUAGCAAUUUAAGCAACUUGCUGGCCUUAGUAUUAGAAGGCAAUAAAUUGACUGGACCAAUUCCAAUUACAUUCGCCCGACUGCAGAAACUUCAAGGCUUAUAUCUUGCAUCCAAUAAGUUGGUAGGUUCAUUCCCAGAUGAGCUUUGCCAUCUAGGUAGGCUGGCUGAAUUGGCCUUACUUGACAAUAGGCUUUCAGGAUCUAUACAUUCAUGUGUAAGUAAUCUCACUUCUCUAAGAUAUCUCUAUUUAGGGUCCAAUAGGUUUACUUCUGUCAUUCCCUCAACUUUCUGGAGCCUAAAAGACAUCUUGUUUUUUGACUUUUCAUCAAAUUUCUUGGUUGGUCCUCUUUCUUUCGACAUAGGUAAUUUGAAGGUGCUUCUAGGAAUAAAUUUAUCAGAAAAUAACUUAUCGGGUGAUAUGCCAGCCACAAUUGGAGGACUAAAACACCUUCAAAUUAUGGACCUAGCAUAUAAUAGAUUGGAAGGGCGAAUUCCCGAAUCAUUUGGUGAGUUGACAAGUUUGGAGGUUUUGAAUUUGUCAAAUAAUAAAAUCUCUGGGUCUAUUCCAAAAUCCAUGGAGAAACUCUUUUACCUCCGAGAGUUAAAUCUCUCUUUCAAUGAACUUGAAGGUGAGAUUCCUAGUGGAGGAAUUUUUGCCAACUUCACAGCUGAGUCAUUUAUGGGAAAUGAGUUAUUGUGUGGUUUACCAAAUCUUCAAGUCCAACCAUGCAAAGUUAGCAAGCCGAGGACAGAACAUAAAUCAAGGAAAAACAUACUUCUCAUUGUGAUUGUUUUGCCAUUGAGUGUUGCUCUAACAAUAGCAAUCACUCUAGCUCUCAAAUCUAAGCUGAUCGAAUGUGGAAAAAGAUGCACAGUGUUGUCAAAUGAUAGUGUCUUGUCAUCACAAGCAACACUAAGAAGAUUUUCAUACUUAGAACUUUUACAAGCAACAGAUAAUUUUGCUGAAAACAGCGUAAUUGGCAUAGGAGGUUUUGGUUCUGUUUACGGUGGAAGACUUGAAGAUGGGAUGAAGAUUGCAAUAAAAGUGUUUCACCAGCAAUGUGCAAGCGCAUUGAAGAGUUUUGAGGCUGAAUGUGAAGUGUUAAAAAAUAUUCGCCAUCGAAACCUUAUCAAAGUUAUCAGCAGUUGCUCGAACGAUGACUUCAAAGCAUUAGUCCUAGAAUACAUGUCCAACGGGAGUUUGGAGGAUUGGCUGCAUUCGAGCAAUUACGUGCUGAAUAUUUUUCAAAGGUUGAACAUAAUGAUUGACGUUGCAUCAGCUUUAGAAUAUCUCCACUUCGAUCAUUCAACUCCUAUUAUUCAUUGUGACUUAAAGCCUAGUAAUGUAUUGUUGGACGAAAAUAUGGUUGCUCAUUUGAGUGAUUUUGGCAUAGCAAAGCUUUUAAGUGGAGAGGAUGAGUAUGUGAUGCGAACAAAAACCCUUGCCACUAUAGGUUAUAUGGCACCAGGUUUGCUUCAAACAACUUUUGUUUUUAGUUCAUUUUAAAUUUUCAAACUUAUUGAUUUUUACAAUCCUCACAUCAAAAUUUUAUUGAUUAUUUAUCUAAUUGUGAAAUUAAUUUGAUUCAUAGAGUACGGCAUAGAAGGAGAAGUAUCUACAAAAAGUGAUGUUUACAGUUAUGGGAUUAUGUUGAUGGAAACUUUUACCGAGAAAAAACCCACAGAUGAAAUUUUUGUUGCAGAAUUGAGCUUAAAGCGUUGGGUUAAUGACUUGCUUCCUACUUCAUUAGUGGAAGUUGUGGACAAAACUCUGCUAAGUGGAGAGGAAAAACAUUCUGCAGCAAAGGAGCAAUGUCUGUUGUCUAUCUUUAGUUUGGCUCUGGAGUGUACAAUGGAAUCACCGGAAAAGAGGAUUAAUGCAAAAGAUAUUGUUACCGGAUUACUCAAGAUAAGAGACACAUUGAGUAAAAGGAUAGGAAAUUUAAGUUAAUUUCGUUUGCUUCCAUUGAUAGUUAAUCUGAAUUCAUGUAAUAAGUGUAGGAAUGUUAUAUCUUUUCCUUUCAUAUAUUUUUUUUCCUUGAGAAAACUGUUGUAGUCAUCUUGUUUCCAUGGACAGAGUUGAUUUAGUUCUUCCAAGAAAUGCUACUGAUGACAUUUGUUUUAUACUUUCUCUUUUUUUGCAUGCGUUUAGGUAGAAUAGUGGUCUAGCUGCAGGCUAAUAAGUCAAGCUAUGCCAAAAGCGUAUGAUUUAAUUUAUUAAACAUAACUUCAAGUUCAAGAAGUGUUUCUCAUUGCCACCAAUGCUUUGGACACCUGUUGGAAGGUUUGUUGUCCUCAGCUUUUGUUUAGAGCAAAAGUUCGAGUCCCAUAAAGGCUCAAACAUUCCUUUCCUUCUGUCCCAAGGGCGCCUUCUGUCCUCUGUUUUCUGUUUCCACACACAAAUAGCCAAAAGAAUUUAGAAUGACAACUGGGACAUAUAUAAGAGUGAAAUAAUUAAAAAAAUAAUGCUUUCUUGUUUGUCGUGUUAAAAUCGUAAGUACCGAAGUACUGUGAAAGAGAUUGAUUUACAGAAACUGAAGCCAAGGGUUCAAAAAAAAAGUGCAAAGAGAAUAAUUGUAUUGGUAGCACAAUGUCAUAUUCAUACAGAGAUCAAGUAUAUUAUUUACGGCUGGUAAGGACUAAGAAUUGAUGUAGCUAGAAUGCGAAGAUGAUAAGGUAUGUUGUGCACUAUUGUUUUAUUCUACAAUCAAUCUUGACCCUUGAUGCUUGGCUCUCAAUCUUGUCCAUUGAUCUUCUCUGAUUUGGGAGACUUGAAGACCUUUCAGUAUCCUGCCUUGUUGUUGGUAUCUUCCAUGCUGUAGAACCGCCGACUUGCCAAGUAUUUGUUCAUUGAUGCAUUUUAUGAAACAGUUGGCCUGCUCAUAGCAAACAGCUCCUGUGUUAACUCCCCCUCCAUAGCUCAACUAUCUGGGAAGACAAUUAAUUGAGCUUGUUUCACAAUUAUAUGAAUCUGAAAGUUCAAUUUUAAAAAUUACAUUCGGACUCUACAUUUUCUAAUGAACAUUGGUUUGGCUUAUAAGCUUAAUAUGCUUAGGCUUAGGCUUGGUAAGAUUAUCGGUCGGUAGAUGAACAAGUUUUAGAGCUUUCGAAUUCAUGCCAAUUAAUUUUCAACUAGGCUAUUACCACAAUAAACAUUUAGAAAUCUAAAUUUGUUCAUUAUAUAUUCUGAUCAGCACUUGAACAUCCAUGCAGACUCCUAUUAAUUAUAUCCUCUAAUGGAGAGAACUCAUUGCCUCAGAAUGAUCACUGUGUCAUCAACCCACUGCCCGCUUCUUUGCUUGGUUGUUGCAGCAAGCAACAAUAUUACCACAGAUCAACAAUAGUUUGUCCAUUUGUUUCAGUGAGGUCGUCAUUAAAAAUUAAUUUUCAUAUUGAUUUUCUUAAUUAUAAAUAAUACUAAUGAUAUUUCAUAGUUAUAAAUAUAUUAGAAUUAAUCGAAAUCAUUUUUUUAGUGCGGCAUGGCUAAAACUACCUUUUUUUUUUAUAAGUAAUUACUACUUUAAGGAAAAUACUUCUAUUUUCAGGGAAAAGUCAAGUACCCGUAGUUGUGAAGACUCGAGCUCACCCUCUUAUGAUAAAUCUUCAUAUCAAUUACAUAAAUAUCCUCUAAAUUUUUAGUUAACUAUUCAAAAUUCGAUGUUAUACGGGUAUUUCAUUUAUUUGAGUAGGGGUUAGGGGUCAAUUGGAUACAAAUUCAAAAUUAUCCUUACUUGAGAAGGUGAUAAAAAUUGGGGAUUUAGUUUG